rnacentral:lncRNA from 1 species
UGGGAAGUUGGUGCUAAAUAUAUAUUUUGCAAUGUAUAGGUCAUUGCAAUUUGCAAUAUUGGUGGAUGUCAUUGAGUAUCUAUACGCAUAGUCAAGAAUGACUAGAAGAUUGAGUUAUAUAACUAUACGUUUUGUUUGAAAACUAAACUAUUUUGAUAUUAAUUUGAAUUGAUUUGUGGUGGAUUAUAAUAUUUGAUGAUUGGAUGAUAAUUUUAUAUGAUUAUCAUAUUUAAUGGUGCGAUCAAAAU